rnacentral:lncRNA from 1 species
UAAACAACUUCUUCAAUUUAUUAUCUCCUUGGCCUGAGGCUUUGAUCCUGGAAGAGGGAGCACCUUUUGCCCACAAAUGCUGAUGGAUCCAGCCCUAGUUUCAGCAACAAGGGUGGCAGGAGCCUCACAUUUUAGGCUUUGAAAAUCUGUGAAAUCAGCUGCAGGUCCUGUAAAGCCUUUGUGUUGCAGAACUACUGGAAUAUACUUCAGAGCUUCGGAUUGUGGCCAAGUUAAAGACAGAAGCAAGGAAAAAAAAGCACAGUUAAAUCAGCUUCUCAUUUGGUGCCUCCCGGUUCACGUCUCAACGCUAGACAGUGUUGACUCCGCAGCUCAGAUAAAUCUGGAGUUGGAGGGGUCCUCACAGAUUAUGCAGUCCUUCUGUCUAAACUGAGGAAACAGAGACACCCCCCAAAUCCCCUGGAUGUCUGUCCCAGCUCAUCUGCAUCACAUGCAAGCUUUCCCAAAGGGUCUUUGAUGGGUAAUGCUUGAAAGGAGGCUGCUUCCCCGGUCACAGCAAAGCCUCCCCCUAAGGCCUGGUGGACGAGCCCCGCAGUGCCUCGGGUGAUCCGUGGACGAGCCCUG